CUGAAACACCGAAGUUAAGCAACGUCGAUCCUGGUCAGUACCUGGAUGGGUGACCUCCUGGGAAUACCAGGUGCUGUAAG